GUCCAUCAUUGGAAGGAAAGUGAUAUGGAGUUAAAGUUGAUUUUGGAAAUGUAUAGACGUGAAUUUACUGAUUCAAGAAGUUUAUAAGAUCUGCAAGGAUGUCAUGGAAGCCAGAGACUAAGAAUAUAAGGCUUGGGCCCAAGUUCAAACUUUGAAAUCCUCUCUUGAUGAGAGCAACUUGGAAUUGCGAGUCAAGAUUGCAAAUGAAGCUGAGGCCAUAUCCCAACAAAGGCUUGCUACAGCAAAAGCUGAGAUUGUUAGGCUGAGGCAGAAAU